rnacentral:rRNA from 1 species
ACUCCCCUACGGGGGGCAGCAGUGGGGGAUAUUGCACAAUGGGGGAAACCCUGAUGCAGCGACGCCGCGUGUGGGAAGACGGUCCUCUGGAUUGUAAACCACUGUCCCCAGGGACGAAAAUGACGGUACCUGACUAAGAAGCCCCGGCUAACUACGUGCCAGCAGCCGCGGUAAUACGUAGGGGGCAAGCGUUAUCCGGAUUUACUGGGUGUAAAGGGAGCGUAGACGGCAGUGCAAGUCUGAAGUGAAAGGCAAGGGCUCAACCCUUGGACUGCUUUGGAAACUGUGCUGCUCGAGUGUCGGAG